UUCAAUAUUUCCUUUGUGAGUUAAUAAUGCAUGCUUUACAGGAAUAGGUUAUCUGUAUGUUUUUUAACCUUUAAUCUCACUGAAUUUUCUCCAGAAAAGUGUUUUAGACAGUUGGACUGGAGGGAAAAGUAACACCACAACAAGCCCCAAAAAAAGUAGGACAACUUAAAAAAGAAAUAUAAGGAGCUGAAAAACUCACCAACUGGUUCAGGGGUGGACAAGGGAGAGGAUACAGCUUCAUCAUGGCCCUGGUUCACCCUAAUGUAUAAGGCUUCGGGUCAGAAGCAUUCAGUUACUCCUUCAGUGCUGCUUGCCUCAGUGUCCCAGGCCUCUUCCACCUGUAGUGAGCCGGGGACUUCAAAUGAGAGCCUGAACCAAGCAGACAAAGGGCUGUUGUGCCACUCCUCUUGAAGGUUGCUUGAAGGGUAUCAACGGCAAUGGGCCUCUCCAAACAGAGUUUGCCUCCAUCACCCAGGAGGAAGUGUCCUGGUGGUGGACAUGCCCCACUGCGAUACAGGGGGCUGUGUCGGAGGACUCUGGAGUCGUGCACCAGAGCCAGGAAAGCCAAA